rnacentral:rRNA from 1 species
AGCGAACGCUGGCGGCAGGCCUAACACAUGCAAGUCGAACGAACCUUUCGGGGUUAGUGGCGGACGGGUGAGUAACACGUGGGAACGUGCCUUUAGGUUCGGAAUAACUCAGGGAAACUUGUGCUAAUACCGAAUGUGCUCUUCGGGGGAAAGAUUAAUCGCCUUUAGAGCGGCCCGCGUCUGUUUAGCUAGUUGGUUGAGGUAAUGGCUCACCAAGGCGACGAUCAGUAGCUGGUCUGAGAGGAUGAUCAGCCACAUUGGGACUGAGACACGGCCCAAACUCCUACGGGAGGCAGCAGUGGGGAAUCUUGCGCAAUGAGCGAAAGCCUGACGCAGCCAUGCCGCGUGAAUGAUGAAGGGCUUAGGAUUGUAAAAUUCUUUCACCGGGGACGAUAAUGACGGUACCCGGAGAAGAAGCCCCGGCUAACUUCGUG